GGAAAUGUGGCUUAGUGGUAGAGUACUUGCCUUGCAUGCAUGAAGCCCUGGGCUCAAUUCCUCAGUACCA
rnacentral:tRNA from 1 species